rnacentral:misc_RNA from 1 species
AAGAUGAAGGCGAUGCACGGCUUCUUCGAGGAAGGCGACAAGGUAAAGGUCACCCUGCGCUUCCGCGGCCGCGAAAUGGCGCACCAGGAUCUCGGCGUGAAGGUGCUCGAACGGGUCAAGGUCGAUACCGCAGAGGUCGCCAAGGUCGAGAGCGACUGGCAGCUCGAAGGUCGCCAGAUGGUGAUGGUGCUGGCGCCGCGCUGAGCCGCGUCAGGCCUUCAGGCAGUAUGAUGAGCCCCGGCCUUAUGGUCGGGGUUUUUCGUUGUGCAACUGUGUAGCGGAUGCCGC